rnacentral:rRNA from 1 species
AAUCAACGCUGGCGGCGUGCCUAACACAUGCAAGUCGAACGGGAAAGUGGAGCAAUCCAUGAGUAUAGUGGCGACCGGGUGAGUAACACGUGACUAACCUACCUUCAAGUGGGGGAUAACCUCGGGAAACCGGGGCGUAAUACCGCAUAAUAUCUCUGUUAUGAGAAAGCAGGGAUCAAAGGAAGCAAUUCGCUGGAAGAGGGGGUCGGCGGCUGAUUAGCUAGUUGGUGGGGUAAGUGGCCCACCAAGGCUUUGUAUCGGUAGCCGGCCUGAGAGGGCGCACGGCCACACUGGAACUGAAACACGGUCCAGACUCCUACGGGAGGCAGCAGUGGGGUAAUUUGCGCAAGUGGGGGAAACCCUGACGCAGCAACGCCGCGUGGAGGAUGAAGU